UUUUGGUAUUUACUUUGCUCUGAUUGGCUGUUGUAAUUUCUUUGCUUUUCGCUCUCAAAUAAGUACUUUUUGAUUAAAACGGUGAUGCAAUUCCCUCAUUAAGUAGUAUUUCUCAGAUUAUCGUAAUUAUGGAUUAUCAGCCGCUUCGUCUCAGUAAACAUUCGACUAUACCAGCUCCUCAACACAAUACGAAAGACGAGUGUUUUAUCACCUGAUGCCUUAACCAAGGAACUCAUUUGUCCUGAUUUUAGCCUUUUCCAGGCUCUCUUUCAGUAGAGGAUGAGAGGUCUAGGAUAAGCGAAGGAAGAAAGCAGCCUCCGACGAAAUAAAAACGGAAUCUGGCAAGUGA